rnacentral:lncRNA from 1 species
AAAAAAAAAAGGAAGCAAGAAAAAAACCAAUUCCCCACCUUUUCUCCCAUAUACAUCUCUCGGCUCUCUCCCUCACAGAACAAGAAGAAGAAAACACUCCCUCACUCUGCUCACGGCUCACUCUCUCCCUUUCUCGGACUUGGGCAGAAGAAAGAAAAUAGAACAAAAAGAAAGAAAGCUCCCUCACUCUCGCCCAUAUCCCCCUCUUUGCUCACUUCACACAAUACACCCACACACAAUUCAGACACAAGGAGGCAGCCGCCGGUUGGACAAAGAGCUUGGAACUUCCUCAAAAUUUUAGUCAAGGGACCACAACCUCAUUGAGGUAUUUUUUUUUCCAGCUUUUCCUUUUUAAUUAAUUAGAUUAAAUGCAUAUUUGGCUACCUAUUUGUCUCUUUUCUUUCACUGAUUUUUGUUGCUAUUGUGGUGUUGUUGAAGUUUUUUUAUGGGACAAACUUGUAUAAAAUUAAGAAAAAAGAAACGGUGCUAUGAAUGCAUGCCAAAUGUUUGAUAAAAUAUCGAAAUGGAAAAAUGGAUUAAAAAGCUGAAUAUUGUGCAUGUUGUUGUCAAAACGGAUGACCGUUAGCUAGCACCAGGCCUGGAAAUGUUUGGUUAUCUAAAUUUUUUGGAGUUUUAAGCUUUAAAGGCAUUGAAAUAUUUUCUUCAUUUUUGGGGCUGUUUUGACUUAAUGCAUCAUUUUGUUGUUAUUUACUUGUCAAACUAAGAUUAUAGUUGUAAUGUAGAAGUUAUAAGGAGGGUUUUGGCAUAUUUUUUAUGAUUUUUGGUGGAGGUUUAAAGGUUUUAAGAAAAUAAAAAUUAGACCGACUUUUGUUAUUUUGAUCACUUUUCUUUCCUUUUUUGUAAAAAAUAACUUCGGAAAUGGAAUCUACGCGAAAAAUUGAGUGAGAGUGUGUAUUUUGGUGAAAAAUCGUGACGGAAAAUUUUGCCGGCGGCGGUCCGGCGAUGGCGCCACUGACAGCUGCCAGCUGAAGCCGAAGAAGAAGAGAAAGAAACGGCUAGGAAAUGAAGGAAGAAGGAAGAAAAAAAAAGAAGGAAAGAAAAGAAAGAAAAAGAAUGGUUGGACUACUAAUUUUUUCUGGUGGGUUUUUAGUUCGGUUUUUGACUUGGGUUUUGGUUAUCUUUUUUGGGUUUUACGCAUGGGCUUGGGAGUUGAAGCCCAAGCAUUUCAGCUGGGUUUGUUUUGACAAAAACAAUGGGCUAGCCCGUCUCUUGUUCUCGAGGCUUUCAGGUGGGCUUGGGAGUCCUGGCCCAAAGAAAUGAGAAAAUGGCCUAGUGACCUGAUUUGUUAAGGAAUAAGAAAAUAUUUUUGCAUAUCAGUCCCUAUACUUUCAAGUAUUUUCAUUAUGGCCCAGAAUAUUUUAAAUUGAUUUCAAUUAGGUCUUUAGAUUAAUUUCAUAUGGGUCCCUAAAUUUAUAUUUUCUUUAUUUUUGACCCCAAAUCUUUGUGACAAUUAUAAUUUGACCCCAUAACUUUGUUUAUUUUUGUAAUUAGGUCCCUAACAGAUUUGAUUGCUUAAAUAGAAGUUGCUUUUCUUCUAUAAUCAUUGAUUACACUUCAUUUAAGUGUUUCAAUUGAUUGAUUUCAUGUUUAUUUCCAUUUGUUAUGAUUUAUUUGUUGAUUAAAUUGGUGCCUUAUGAUUUUCUUAAUUUUGGAGUUAAAUAGGUAAAACCAAACCCAAUUAGCUACUACUUCAAGGGAGGUAUUUUCUUGUUUUAUUUUAAAUUCUCUUAUGUGCUAUUAUGUGUUUUUAUGUGUGAAUUUGCAUGUUUUGAGUGAUUUUCUUUUAGUGAUUUGUUUUAUUCGUUCUAAGUUUCAUAUAUUUAAUUUAAUUUUUGAUGAUUAUUUGAGAGGCAAUUAAACGCCAAAUUGUAAUAGUUAGGUUAUUAUUUUUUAUUCUUUACCCCUUUAGAUUGUAGUAGCGUCCCCAAAUGUAAUAGUUAGGUUUUUAUUCGCUUUUAUUUGUUUGUGUGCUUGCAUGCUUGUGUGAUUACGUGUUUACUCGUUUCUUUAGGAUCUUUGCAUCUAGAUAUCAUGCUUACAUGUGUAUAUGCUACGUGGUCUUAUGUGUUUAUUUGUUUUACUGUGUAUUAUAAAUGCAUGAGGUCACCACACUAGUCCAACGCUAGUUGUGGCUUCUCCCUUCGUCCACUUGCUAAUCCAACGCUAGUAAGAUUUUUAGGAAUGAGUUAGUCCAAUGCUAGACCCUUAGAUCGUUCACGCAUUAGAUUCAUUUUUUGUAUGGUAUCCAUUACAUUUUCAUGCAUAUUUUUAUUUUUAGGAUCUUUUCCGAUUUGCAUGGUAUUCCCUAUUAUUUAUUAUCCCCCUAUCCUCCAUAUGUGUUAAUCAUAUCAUUUAGAAUUGUAUCUCAUUUAAGAAAUUGUGGAAUAAGUUAGUUCAUUUGCUUGUUCAUAUUAGGAGAAUUAUUCUUUGAUCAUGGGUAUAGGUGAUUAUAACUCUUUAGUUUAAAUACUCCAUUAAUCAUUGUAUAAGAAAAUUAUGUCACGAGUUUUUGCCCCCCGUACCCAUUAUGUUGCAUUCUUUUUUCUUUGAUCACUUAUACCUUAUGUAUAUAAUUUUCUUUUCUCUUCUUUUCUUUUCUUUUGAUUUCAUCAUUCGCAUAUUCGUGACUCCUUUAAGGAAUUAUUUUAGCCUUCGCAAUUAAUGCGAUUGGUAUCAAUUAAACCCUUGAAUGAAUAUUUUGUCCCUUUCGAUAUUUUAUAAAUUUAGAUUUGCAUCCAUGUAGAAAACAUCCAAAUGUGAUAAAUUUAAGGGUUAGAUUAAGAAAAUUUUGACUAAACCACGCAACUAGCUUAGACUAGGUUGAAAGGAUGCCUUAGAUUUGAGAUAAUCGAACAUUUGCCUUCUUUUUCUUCAACCGUGACUCCCGAACUUAUUUUCUCUGUUUUCAAAAACCUGGAGUUGUCGAAAAGGGUUUUAUUUUAUUUUAUUUAAAAAUAUUUUUUGGGUGACUUGGUACACCAAAACUCAAUACUAAGUAGCGACUCCUAUUUUUCUUAAAAAUCCUUUUAGACUAAAUUUUGGACCCAAAUUGUCGCAUUGUUUUAAGUUCCAUUCUAGGUCCUUUUUCACUUGUUUUAAAAUAAAAUCACAUCUUUUGUAAACACCUUUUAUUUUUCAUCCCGAAAAAAGGGACGCGACAACAUUGAAAAUCAAUUUGUGCACACAUAAUCAAAUAGUUUGUGCACUCCCAUUUUAGUUUGUGUGCACAUAAAUAUUUGGUCAUAUUACAAAAUAAAGUUACGUACAAGGCCACAUAGGCUUUAGCUUUUAGCUAUCUCAAUAUGAGAUAUUCUGAAAAGUACAACUUAAAAAUAUGAAUUUUGAAAUAUAGAUGAAAGAAUUACAUAUUUCUUAUAGGCUUAUAUGUUUAAAAAUGUGCUAAGUAUUUUUUUUGAAUCUUUUUUUUGCCAAAUGAGUUAAGAAGUUGCAUUAAUUUGACGUUCAUCCCUUGAUACUUAAAAGAUGCAUAACUCAUUGUAGACACCAAAUUUUUAAUAUUUAUUUUUGUUUCUUAAUAUUUUAUUGCAAUAUUUACUUGCCUAUUGAUAAUUUAUUUUCACAUAUGCUAAUAUGAAUUUUCUUAUUUUUAUUAUUUUUGAAAAUUAAAAAGAAAAGAAAAAUUCUAACAAAAUGUUUUCAGAUCCGCACACCAAUUAUUUUUUUCUUGCACCAAAUGUACUAUUAACCCAAAAAAACACUCCACCUCCGAUAUUCCUCUUUUUCUUUUGGUACCAGAAUUCAUUAUCACACACAACUCAAAAAAUAACACAACUCUCCUCACUCUCAGACACACACACACACACACACACACGAACUCUCUCUCAAUUUUCACCAAACACUAACACACACAAGCUCGCAUUCUCUCAGCUUCUCCCUUUCCCCCUGGUUCUUUCUUUCGGGUUAAAAAAUUUCAACAAGUAUUGCUCAAAAUAAGGAAAGGGCAGAGGAAAGACUUCAACUCCGGAUCUUUUACAUUCAAAUUGGAAGGCCACAACUAACAUUUAGUAAGCUUCGGAGAGCUGGAACUUGUGUCUUAGGUUUUGGAAAUGCAUAAUCAAGUGACUUUUGAUCCAUACGCAUGCCUAUUAGUUUCAUAAGGAUGUAAAUAGAUUCAUCAUGCUUCUAAGUUGCUCUUUGCAUGUUUAAUUAAAUUUGUAGUUGUUCUUGUUUUUUUGGGAACUUUAAACUGCCGCUAAUAUAGCCCAGCCUUGGUCUUCAUUUAUUUGACUGCCUAUUGUCCUCUGGAAGAUAUUUAGGAUGAGUCUUGUGAGUUUCCAGGUUUAGAAAUGAUCAAAUGGGUUUCCUAAUUUGAAAAAUGGGUUUCUUGAGAAAAAUCUUGAUUUCUUUUAAUUUGUGUAGGCUAGUGUUUAUUGCUUAUUGGGCUUGUUGUCAGGUCUUAGGAAUAAAAUUAGCUACCUUUGUUUUUUCUAGCAUACUUAAACAACAAAUUAGGCCCAUUUGUUUAAAUGAGAUAGUUUGCCUUUUUUUGGGGCCAAAUUGUGUAUGGCCUAAACACUAAGAAUCUUCCUAUAAACAGAAAAACAAUUUUUGCAAUGUGAGUCCUAAACUUUUAGGUAAUUCUAGUAUGUAACAAAAACUUUAGUUUUCUUUCAUUUAGACCCUUAAUUUAGUUGUACCAUGGAGCAAAAACUUUAGUUUUCUUUCAUUUAGACCCUUAAUUUAAUUGCAUUUGAUCCCUAAACUUUAUCUUUAUCUAAUUUUUCCCAUAAUCAUUUUAAGAAUUAUGUUUUGACCUCAAAAACUUUUUAUUUUUGUAAUUUAGUGUGAGGACUUUAAAAUCCCUUAUAUUUUUCUUAAAAUUCCCUUUAAUUUGGAAUUUAUUACUUUACAGUAGCUUUACUACACAUUCAAUUCUCCAAUUGCUACAACUAAUCAUAGAACCAAGGGUUUCUUCUUUUCUUUCAUCGUUAAGAUAAACUAGGAUUUUUACGUCUUUUCGUAGUGUGAGUAAUCAGUACGGAGUGUGUACUCAAUUUAGUGAUUAAGAGUGAGUUUUAAAUGAUAUUAAAUGUGUGAUUAGAAGUAAUACUAAUAAGUUAGUAAAUUGUAAGUAAAAACCCUAGUACGUGCGAGUUAAGGAAAAACGGUGUGAACCGUCGGGUACCGUUUGUUACCGAGUGAACACACCACUUGACUACCACUUUAUUAACUUAAUCUCAUUUUUAUUAAUGCAUAAAUAUCAGCCCCUCAUCAGCUCAAGAUGGCCGAAAUAUUUGACUAAGAAAAAACAAGGAAAAGAAAAAAUUUUGUGAGAUGAUCUUGAGAGGACACUUGGAAGCCAUCCAACCCUCUUUGACACAAUUUAAGACCAAGCUUCUUAACCUUUCUUGGAGCUUCAUUUUUGCUCCAUAAGCUUCAUAGAGGGCCGAGACUUAAGAAAAAAAAAGAGAGAAAAACCACUUCAUUUCAAUCUUGAUUUCUAGCUUAGUUGAGUGAAAAUCGAAAUUCUAAACCGAUUAACCUCUUAUUUGAGAAGUUGGGAAGCUUGGUGCGCUAAAGGUUUGGAAGGAAAGGUUAAGGUUUCUCUUGAAAGCAUCUUUGGCAAGGUAUUAAGGCUGUUUUUCCAUUUUCUUACCCUUAAUCUUGUUUAAGUUGGUAUAGCAACUCAUAUUCUUAGCUAAUGAUAGUUAUUUAAGUAGUUUUGAUGGUUAUGGUGGAUUUUUGAGUUAGGGUUGAGUUGUUCAGUUGUGUUUCUUGUUGCUUAUAUAGAAUAUGAUGUGAAUAAGCUUGGAUAGGGAGUUGGAGUAGUGGUUCUAUACAUGAAUAAGAAGUUUAUACCUUGAAUGCAUUAAAUUCCAGUUUUAAGCUUUGAACUGCCCUGCUUCUGACCAGAAUCAUUCGUCCAUGUUAGAGGCCAAAUCAGGCUUAGGUCAAAACAUGAAAGUUGUAGGAAAUGGUGCUUUAUAGCUUCUUGUAAAAUUUCAUCUCAAUCGGAGCACUGUAACAUGUGAAAUGACCGAAAUACCCUUGACUGCCAAAUGUACGUUUCAGUGGGCAGUUUUGAGAUUUCACAUGUUUGGCUUCAUUUUUCACUUUGAUCCAUAUUAAAUCAGCAUUUACCCAAAACAUAACUUUUAGCCCUAUGUUUCAAAUUUCCAACGCAUCUGAAAACGCCUCAAUCGGAAUUGUGUAGUCUGAGUUAGUGCCAUUUGAAUCCAGUGCUGACAACCAUACUGACAAGGACAUUCUGGUUCUGUAAGCUGUAAAUUCGACCUAGAUCAAUUGUGAACUGGGUUGAGUUGUCUUCAUGAAAGUUGUAACCCUUUGUCUUAGCUUCGAAACGGUAUAAAGUACAUCCCAAUCCAAUAAGUGUAGCUUCGGUUGUGACCGAAACGCUAAGAGACGUCAAACCUGUGAUUUUGUUAAUUGUCUUAAACAUUAGUUCCGGACCAUUUUCUAGUAUUGUUCUGUACUUGAAUGAUAUUGAGCCUAUUGAAAGGCUAUUGUGGAGCCUAAUUGAAGGGCUAUGUUGGUAACAUUGCUUGUGUAUGUUUUGGGGCUGAAUUUAGAAAAAUAAUGAAGCCAUAAAUGACUGAAAAAUAGGUAAACUCAUAGGGCGUGCUGCCUAAAUUUUCACUCGAGAGUUAGGUAGAGGUACCGCGACUUGAGUAAGGAUUCGGGAACGAAUCUCACUUGAAUUGUCUAGGGUAUUCAAGUCUUCUUUCAUAGAGGUAUAUAAGUUAGAAUUCGGCCGAAACUUGUACCCGUGAAAAAAUGAAAUUUACGACUAAGAGAAAUAUGUUUUCUCCAUUUCUUCAACUCAAAUGGUAUUUCAACGUAUAAUUGCUUCAAAGUUUCAAAGUUUUAAGAGCGAGCAUGAGUUUUACGAAUACUCUCUAAAUGAGUUUCAAUUACUUGAUUAUCGUUAAACGAAACGUUUAAGUUUCGAACCUCGGUUAUUUUUUAAAACUCUUAAACAAUGUUUUAUCGCAAAUUUGGACUCCAAACACGAAGUAAUACCCGAACGUGACCCGUAAAGACACUACAUCUUUUGGUGAGUGUUUCCAAAUACUUGAUUGAACAUGACACUUGAUUAAAUGCUUGACCAUUGUGGCCAGAUGAUAUUUGAUUGAUUUGGUCCGGCAAGGGUGUACUUUAUCACACUUGCCCUAAUGUGAUAUGUACGUGUUUAUUGGUGCAAUUGACUUGAUAUACUUGUGCUUGAUUUGUAAGUGUUGGAGCGGUAGCAUGUACCACACUCAAUCCGAGUGGGAGGUGCCUCUCAUUCCUGUCUCCGUACUUUAAUCUUGAUUCAGUUGAUUGGAGAUGUUAUCUCAUCGACUUCUUAGGGACCCCAAAUCCUACUGGCUAGUUAAUCGAGUCGAGAUAGCAAGAGUUUGGUCGAUUAGAUAACGAAUCAUGGGUAUAUAGUGUUGUCGAGUGGAGUGUUAUCUUCUUGACUAAUCAGUAUACUCGAGUAUUACCACCAGUGUUUAUCUUGGAGUUCGGGCCCGGUAAGGGGUUUGGUUGGUGGACGGAGAUUGGAGUUAAGUGGUGUACUACUGGACUAAUUACUUUACUUGAAAGUUGACGGGGUGUCAACUACUAUUUGAUCAAGUUAUGGUGGAACUGGUUUACCAAGGCAACUGUAUCCUUUUAUGUGAAAUACUGAUUAUGAAAUGUUGGCUGUACAAGUGUAUUGCUCAUUUUUUUGACUUGUUAUGCUCGCUAUUUCAUUACUAUGUUACAUUUACUGUUAAUUAAUGGCUAAUUUGCUAUUUGGAACAUCAUUAAGCUAUAACUCACUCCGUUAGUUUUGUUUUCCUUACAAGGGAUACGAGCGAGGCGUGAGACGUGUACAGACUAGCGUAGUCUAAUUGUUUUGAAUUUUGAAAUUGUACACACACUAGCACCCGACUAAGGUUGUUCGUACUUGGAUUGUAAACUCGUUAAUGUAUUUGGGCGUGUAUGAGCCUUGUAGUUGGAUCUGAACAUCAAUGUAUAUAUCAAGUUUGAAUUUGUUGUGUUA